rnacentral:rRNA from 1 species
UGAGGAAUAUUGGGCAAUGCCCGCAAGGGUGACCCAGCAACGCCGCGUGGAGGAUGAAUGUCGUAAGAUUGUAAACUCCUGUUAGAGGGGAAGAAUAGUACCGGUUGGACCGGUAUAUGACUGUACCCUCAGAGAAAGCCCCGGCUAACUACGUGCCAGCAGCCGCGGUAAUACGUAGGGGGCAAGCGUUGUCCGGAUUUACUGGGUGUAAAGGGCGCGCAGGCGGGAUAAAAAGUCAGUGGUGAAAUCCUACAGCUUAACUGUAGAACUGCCUUUGAUACUUUUAUUCUUGAGUUCGGGAGAGAGAGACGGAAUUCCAGGUGUAGUGGUGAAAUACGUAGAUAUCUGGAAGAACACCAGUUGCGAAGGCGGUCUCUUGGUCCGACACUGACGUUGAGGCGCGAAAGCGUGGGGAGCAAACA